UCUUCGCGACGCUACACCAUCGUUGCCAUUGCCGAUCACCAGAGGCACACCAUCGGCUCAGUGUGUCCUUCAUCUACCUUAGGGUUUGGCCUAGAUGUCGACACUGUGGAAAAACGUGCCCUAUCAUUGUCGCCGCUACACUAAGGCAGUCGUGGUGAGAGCCAUCGUAUCUCAAGCUUCACUGAUCACCCAGAUGGGUUACAUUUCGUUUCUUCGAAUCACACUAUCUGAAGUGGGGGUAAAAGGAUCCGGAGUUACUACUCAUCCAUCUCUUCCUUCUGCUUCCAGAUUUUUUCAUCACGCAGGGAUAGAUCAUUUUGGGGAUGAUCUAUGUUGAAAGAGGAUCCUGUGAGUUGUUGACUCAUGUCUUGGAUUUAAAAGAAGAAAAUGUGAAGGAAUGAUAUAGUUCUGAUUGAGGUUCGAUUGAGGAUGUUGGGGAUCUUUUGAGGAUUCGGAUUCGGGACGAGCACUUCGACAUAGAGGUUGAUUAGCUCGAUCUAUUGGAGG